rnacentral:rRNA from 1 species
AUUGAACGCUGGCGGCAUGCUUUACACAUGCAAGUCGAACGGCAGCGCGGGCUUCGGCCUGGCGGCGAGUGGCGAACGGGUGAGUAAUGCAUCGGAACGUGCCCAGUAGUGGGGGAUAGCCCGGCGAAAGCCGGAUUAAUACCGCAUACGACCUGAGGGUGAAAGCGGGGGAUCUUAAGGCCUCGCGCUAUUGGAGCGGCCGAUGUCGGAUUAGCUAGUUGGUGGGGUAAAGGCUUACCAAGGCGACGAUCCGUAGCUGGUCUGAGAGGACGACCAGCCACACUGGGACUGAGACACGGCCCAGACUCCUACGGGAGGCAGCAGUGGGGAAUUUUGGACAAUGGGGGCAACCCUGAUCCAGCCAUGCCGCGUGCGGGAAGAAGGCCUUCGGGUUGUAAAACGCUUUUGUUCGGGAAGAAGGGCUCUAGGCUAAUACCCCGGGGGGUUGACGGUACCGGAAGAAUAAGCACCGGCUAACUACGUG